rnacentral:lncRNA from 1 species
CAAAACCUCUAAGAAAACAUGACCAUAACAUAUAAGUUGGGACAGGGUCCCUAACAUCCUUAUAAAACAAAGUAACAUAUAUAGAACGUGACUUGACAAUACUCUAGGAAGAUGUGGAGCUCACCAACCAAAAGCUGAUAUCUGGAGGCAGCCUACAAUGGAUGAUCCUCACCUUGCCUAUCUACACCUGCGUGGCAUGAAGCACAGUGCCCCAGAAAAAAAAAGGCGUUAGUACGAAGAAUGUACCGAGUAUGUAAGGCAGCAAUGAAAUGUAAUAAUAAUAAGAUAUUAUCUCGGGGGAGAGAUAAGAGUCAACUUAUAACUUCUGACUUGUCGCUGAGGGCCGUAACAUAUAGAAUAAAAUCCAUAUCGUAUAUAUAAAUAAAGUUACAAUACAAUAGUUCUAGUUACCUCAUUUUUGUAACGUUAACUGCCCAACUGAUCAGUGGUAACUGCCCGAUUGACCGUAGCUCGGUGGUAAAUGCAUAACUGCCCAAGCGAUGAUAAAUAAAUAAUAAUACAUAACUAUCCAACCGGUGGUAACUGCCCGACCAGCCGUAGCUCGGUGGUAGAUGUAUAACUGCCCAAUCGGUCGUAGCUCGGUGGUAAAUAUUACAACGUCACCACUAGUUACAUAUAUAAAUACAAUAUCUGAAGAGCCUUUUAGGAUAAUUAGAAUAUCUUUCAAAGUGACUUAUAGUCGUUUACUCCCGACAUGUACCACUAAUUAUGAAAAAUAGUAAAUACCCGAUAGAAUAAUCGCAAGUUGACCCUAACACCACCAUUUUAAAAAACAAUAUGGCAGCAUUGUUGCAUCAUUUGGCAUGCAACAUUUGGUGUAGGUUUCUAUUUGGACAUAAAUAUAUUCCUCAAUUGAAAACUAACUAUCAGAUUAUUUAUUUUGAUUACUUGUUAAGGAAAGAACACCGUAUUUGGAAAUAGAAGUUAUCCGAUCCUUAAAACAAAAAUUAAGAAACCAACAUUCUUGCAUCUAUAAUAACAACUAAUGGAUUAAGAAUAUCAUAGAAGUUAGCACUAUAUAUAUAUAUAUGAACUAACAUCAUCCACAUGCGGUCAAUAAGAAUCAAGCAUCAGUGCCAUGAGUAAGAGUUUACAUUAUAAAAGACAAUGAACAAAAGCUUUCUGUAUUUACUAGGAAUAAUAUCAUGUUUUAGUAUUGAGUUUGUUUACACGCCAUAGUUGGAGUCAUGCCAAAAGGAAAAAGGAUAGAUUUAACAUACCUGGAGUAGGAAAAACUCCGUAUAAUACUUUUGGAGAAGAUUUCACCGUACUUCUAUAUAACCGCAAAAAUUGGAUGGACUUUUAGCUUCUGUCCUUGUAGUAUUGAACUAGGAAAGACAUAUGUUUCUUGAUUUUGAAUUAAGAACAAAAUAUGGACUUUAACUUCUGGUCUUAGAAGCAACUGGAACUUGGAAAAUGAUAUUGCAUUAGGAACAUUUUUCCUUCUUUUGUCCAAAUGAAAGAAUGAGAUAACACUUAUCAUAAGUCUUUACUUAUUAAUUCCAAAUAAAUCCUAGAUAGACACCUAAGACUAUAUGACUACUUAGUCAUUCUCUAGAUUUGUGGCUUUUUGCCAAGUUUUUGGGGGUGUAUUUUAUUAAUUUUUAUCCAUUUAUUAGUUAACUGGGUAAUGUCCCGUUACCCGGUAAUUAACCAAUUACUCGCAUAAUUUAAAAAUUACUUCAAAUUACUUAAAAUUAUACUUAUUUUUAAUAUACUUUAUACAUCAUACUAUCACGUCCAUAUGGUACCUUGUAUGAUACUAGUCCAUAAUUAUCGGGUAUUAUCGCUCGACCCGUAUUUUAUCCCAAAUUGGCCACUUUCAACGAAACUCGUUUUCUUUAAUUUGUGUACCCUUUAUCCUUCUUGACACUUACUUAUUGCUUGUUAUAAUUAGCAUAAAUACGUUAACCUCAAGAUAAUCUCAUCCCCGAGUCUACGUCAAUUAACGGAAGACGAAACUUUAACGUACGAAAAUGCGAGAUGUAACAUCCUUCCCCCUAGAAAUAUUCGUCCUCGAAUGUUUAAACUUGCAAGAUGUACAUACAUAUCCAUCUAUUAUAAAUGUAUAUAUCUUCCCGGGCUAAACUCCAAUGAAACAAAUAGCAAGCUCUCACGGGGUCAGGACGUCGUCCCUCCCUAAAACUACUUCCUAAUCAAUUCGUCACCUAUGAUUCUGUUAAUAUAUCUUCUAGGUGCUGUCACCUAUUAGUUGUAAUCUUAAUAACUGGGUUCAUGCUUUCCUUUCAAAGCUAGCCUUGGUUUCCCUUAACCCUUCUGGCGCAAUGCCAACUUACUCUUACAUUAAUCAUAUUAAAUGGACAAUUUGCGUUAAUAAGAUCGAACAUUACCAAUAAUCACAAUACCUGACACAUCAUCCGGUGUAGCCUCUGGGUCCUGACAACCUGCCAAAGCAUAUAUGCGGUUCUGACUACCGUCAGAGCUAGAUGCUCCAUCCCUGACUCUACCUCUACCAGUUGAUGCCCGAUGGCCUCUCUCUUGAGAAGAGGAGGAUACUGUAUAGAUCUGGUGGGCUGAACCAUCCCGCUUAUGUUAUUCAUAGCGCAAUCCCCCAUGUAAUGACUAGGGUCUCCACAUGUAUAACAUAUAUUAGAUCCCUGACGACAUUGUCCAGAAUGAGCUCUACUGCAUUGACUGCACCGUGGAGGAGGCGCCCUCAUCUACGCUGAAUCCCUCCGAUUCUAAAAACCCAAAAUUCUCGAGCCCUGACCUGAUUCAGAAUAGACAGAUCCCUCAUAAUACGACUUCUGCAGUUGUCAGAUACUUUCAAUAGGAUAUGGUGACAUAGGAUCGCCCGAAAAAUCCUCAGGUCGCCUAGCAGACCUGGCCUUCUUACGCUGACCCUCAUCACGAUUCUCGUAUUGUUGUCAUUAUCAGUCCUCCAAAUUUUGAGCAUAAGCCUGGAUGCCAGAAAUAUCCAUACCAUCGAGCAGAGCGGCUGUGGAGCAUUCAUUAAUCAGGUGCGGCCCAAGUCCUAUGACAAACCGAUACACUUGAUCACUCAUUUCAGCCACAAUCUAGGGGGCAUACCUUGCCAAGGAAUCAAACUGGAGACUAUACUCUUGCACACUCAUAUUCCCCUAUUUAAGAGACAAGAACCUGUCUACCCUUGCUUGAUGAAUCUCUAUUGGCAAGUAAUGACACAAGAAAUCCCCUGAGAACUCUUCCCAUAGUGCUGGAGAUGCAUUUGUCCCUCUAGACAAUUCCCAAGUUUCUUACCACUGAACCACAACAUCUCGCAAUAGGUAUGAGGCCAACUCUACUAACUCAGUGUCCGAUGCAUGCAUUACCCUCAAAGUCCUCUGCAUCCUAUCAAUAAAGUUUUGCGGGUCCUCAUCCUUAUUGGAUCCAGUAAACUCUGGAGGGUCCAGGUUGAUAAAGACUCAAACUCUCGCGCUAAUAACCCUGUUAACGUGACCAACAUUUGUACCUACCUAGUGCUGAGCCUGAGUGGCUACCAACCUAGUCAACAACUGUACUGCACUCCGCAUAUCCAUAUCCUCAUCCAGAACAAUAGGUGGAGGUACUGGGUUCCUCAUCAUCUCCUCGGGUGUUGACAAAAUCGGAGAACUAUGCGAGGGUGUCAUAUUUCCCCUCAGGGCCUCACUUUGGACCUCACUAGACAUUGGUACUCUACUCAUGCCCUCAUAUGCCACUACUUUACCCUUUUGACUAGCCGUAGCGUUCCAAGUCAUAGACAUUGCUGCAUAUAUAAAACAAGUCAAAGAUCAAGGGCUUUGUUCCCUAUAACUUUGCUCUAUUACACGAUCUAAUAUCAAGAAGAAAGGGUAGCCGGUCCCUAAAUGCCCUGUAGUUUCUUGCUUAUAUAACGUGGUGGACAACACAUUUAUAAACAAGACUUUACUAGACACGGCUUGCAGACAACCCUAGGACAGAACUACUCUGAUACCACUUUAUCAUGACCCAUAUCAGAGGGCCAUGACUGGCACCUGGUGCCUAUUCAACCGAGUGCCACGUGUCACACCUCCUUUUUACUACUCCGGAAGGGUAUAAGGGAGUUUUUCCAAUUUAAGUGACAAUCAAAAUGGGAUUAUUUAUAUUAAUCAGAGUCUCCACUUGGGAUAAUUAUGGUGUCCCAAGUCACCGGUUUAAAAUCCCGAAUCGAGGAAUUUUGACUCAUUUUUACAGUCCACAAAACACAGAAAUCCGGCUAAGGACUUCUGUUAAUUCAGGAGAAGGUGUUAGGCAUUCCCGAGUUCCGUGGUUUUAGCACGGUCGCUUUAAUCAUACUUGGCUUAAUUAAAUUGUCUAAUUACAUGUUUAAGAACAUAUGUACAUUUUUACCUUUUACCACUUUUAAUUAAGAAUUUAUCCUAAAGCAAGUCACACGUACGUGUACUCAUUCCAUUUUGCAUAUAAAAAAUCAUGUCACACGUACGUGUCCACAAUUAAUAAUGCUUUAUUAUUAUUAAGCAAUUUUGGUCAAAGUUGUGCGAACACAUACUCCGGGUUUGUUUUUAGAUAGAUUAAGUCUCACCUAAAACAUUUUCUACGAAUAUUCAUUUUUUUUAAAAACGUACUCGUGUUACGCGAAUGUGUACACAACUAAUAACAUUUUAUUAUUAUUAAGAUUAUUUGACCAAAGUCACGCGAACGUGUACCUUGAUUUUGGUCAUGUAACUUGUCAUGUAUCAAUCACAAAGGAAUGAAACCAAACAUAUAACCGCAAAGCCUUAAAUAUGUCAUACAAAUUCAAAGCUACUAGUAGAAAGAAAUGAACCAUAUAUGUUCCUAUGCAUAGAUUUAAUAAUUUAUACUUCAAGUGGCAAAGCCAAGAAACAGGGUUGGAGAUCACAAAAUGCAAACAGUUAAUUAGAUUCAUAAAAUGUUUAUGACCUUUUUAAAAAGUUUAUCUAUUUUUAUGUAUUUUAAUUAGACUCAACAAAUUAGUCUUGGGUUUUUAAAAGAAAAUAACACUGUAGGCUGUAGCAAUCCUCUUGAUUAAGACAGUGUUAGAACACGCACAACACUCUUUUAUUCGAAUAGUGAAAGGAAGAACAGAGAACAAAGCUCAUAGUUACUAGUAAACACAUGUUUCAAAUGCAUUGCAUCAAUUAAUAUCAACUCAUGAAAUCUAGCAAUUCCAAUUAUGUAACUCAAAUGUUAAUGUAGAGAUCUGGUGUGUACCUAGUAUUCAAAAGCCAACUUGAGAAGCCACAUAAAGGCUAAGAGAAACAACCAUGAAUUUGAUGUCACCGUUGAUAAGCAACCACAACAGUAAUUUUUGCUUUUGAAGAAACUUUCGAUUAACGAAAAAGUACAGCAGCUACAAUAGAUGGAAAGCGCAGCUAUGAGUGAAACUCGAAUAGCGACCGAACUCGAAUGACAACAGUAAAGAACUAGAUCCACGUUUUCAUUCCCAAAAUCCCAGUAAAGGAGAUCGAACCCAAACCAAAAUAGAGAACCAUAACUAAAGCUAACGAAUGGAAAGUCUGACGAACUCGAACUCGAUGGCAAUCGAACCCAACUUCAGCGACUCGAACCACGACCAAAUAGCUGCUCGUACUUGAAUAGUUUGAGAGCUAUUUACGAGGUGUGGCUGCUGCUGUAUGCGUUUGAGCAGAAAUGAAAAAGGGGGUCAGUAUCCACUGGCUUCUGUCCAGUGGUCGUUUUUGGUGUUCGAUUUUCUGAAGAAGAAGGGGUAACGGUUAUGGGGGCUAUUUUUUGGAGUUGCCGCUGGUUGGGGUGUGGUGGCAACGGACUGGUUGUUGAAGAAAUGUGGGGUGAGAUGAAGAAGAAGAUGUCCAGGGGGUUCUCGAUAGGGGUCCCUUAACGCUGAAGAAGAUGAAGAACGGGGGGGGGGAUCUCUUAUGUGUUAAACGACGGAUGUUCAGGGUCUUAGGUUGAAGAUGGGUCGUUUGGGGUGGAGUGAAGAAGAUGAAUUUCAGGCUGGGGGGGG